AUUGACGAACAUGAUUACCAGACUAAACUUCGUAACGUCGUUAAAUUCUUAAAAGAAGGCGACAAGGUUAAAUGCUCUGUACGUUUCCGUGGACGUGAAAUUGCACAUGCAAGCAUUGGACAGAAGAUUCUGGAACGUGUGAAAGAAGAAGUAGCUGAACACUCCAGUGUUGAGCGUUUCCCGAAGCUUGAAGGUCGCAGUAUGAUUAUGAUAUUGGCUCCUAAAGCUCAAUAAUCCGAGGAGGAACUACAAUGCCUAAAAUGAAAACACAUAGCAGUCUUAAAGGCCGCUUUAAAAUUACCGGAACAGGUAAAGUAAUGCGCUAUAAA
rnacentral:misc_RNA from 1 species